rnacentral:rRNA from 1 species
ACGGCAUUGCUAUUGCACCACAUGUGUUUUUCUUUGAAACAAACUUGCUUUGGCGGUGGGCCCAGCCUGCCGCCAGAGGUCUAAACUUACAACCAAUUUUUUAUCAACUUGUCACACCAGAUUAUUACUAAUAGUCAAAACUUUCAACAACGGAUCUCUUGGUUCUCGCAUCGAUGAAGAACGCAGCGAAAUGCGAUACGUAAUAUGAAUUGCAGAUAUUCGUGAAUCAUCGAAUCUUUGAACGCACAUUGCGCCCUCUGGUAUUCCGGAGGGCAUGCCUGUUUGAGCGUCGUUUCUCCCUCAAACCGCUGGGUUUGGUGUUGAGCAAUACGACUUGGGUUUGCUUGAAAGACGGUAGUGGUAAGGCGGGAUCGCUUUGACAAUGGCUUAGGUCUAACCAAAAACAUUGCUUGCGGCGGCAACGUCUACCACGUAUAUCUUCAAACUUUGACCUCAAAUCAGGUAGGACUACCCGCUGAACUUAAGCAUAUCAAAGCCGGGAGGAA